GACGAACGCUGGCGGCGUGCCUAACACAUGCAAGUCGAGCGAAGUGACUCCAAGAGAAGUUUUCGGACGGAUCGAAGAGUCAUCUUAGCGGCGGACGGGUGAGUAACGCGUGAGAAACCUGCCUUUCACAAAGGGAUAGCCUCGGGAAACUGGGAUUAAUACCUUAUGAUACUGAAUUACCGCAUGGUGGAUCAGUCAAAGCGAAUAAGCGGUGGAAGAUGGUCUCGCGUCCUAUUAGCUAGUUGGUGAGGUAACGGCUCACCAAGGCUUCGGUAGGUGGCCGGCCUGAGAGGGGGAGCGGCCACACUGGAACUGAGACACGGUCCAGACUCCUACGGGAGGAAGCAGUGGGGAAUAUUGCACAAUGGAGGAAACUCUGAUGCAGCGACGCCGCGUGAAUGAUGAAGGCCUUCGGGUUGUAAAGUUCUGUCCUUGGGGAAGAUAAUGACGGUACCCAAGGAGGAAGCCCCGGCUAACUACGUGCCAGCAGCCGCCGUAAGAC
rnacentral:rRNA from 1 species